GCCUUGAUAGCUUAAUUUUUUUAGAGCAUAG
rnacentral:tRNA from 1 species